UCUGUGAACUCCUACGGGAGGCAGCAGUGGGGAAUUUUGGACAAUGGGGGCAACCCUGAUCCAGCAAUGCCGCGUGAGUGAUGAAGGCCUUAGGGUAGUAAAGCUCUUUUACCCGGGAUGAUAAUGACAGUACCGGGAGAAUAAGCUCCGGCUAACUCCGUGCCAGCAGCCGCGGUAAUACGGAGGGAGCUAGCGUUGUUCGGAAUUACUGGGCGUAAAGCGCACGUAGGCGGCUAUUCAAGUCAGGGGUGAAAUCCCGGGGCUCAACCCCGGAACUGCCUCUGAAACUAGGUAGCUAGAAUCUUGGAGAGGUCAGUGGAAUUCCGAGUGUAGAGGUGAAAUUCGUAGAUAUUCGGAAGAACACCAGUGGCGAAGGCGACUGACUGGACAAGCAUUGACGCUGAGGUGCGAAAGCGUGGGGAGCAAACAGGAUUAGAAACCCUAGUAGUCCAUCAGCG
rnacentral:rRNA from 1 species